GACGAACGCUGGCGGCGUGCUUAACACAUGCAAGUCGAACGGAAAGGCCCUGCUUUUGUGGGGUGCUCGAGUGGCGAACGGGUGAGUAACACGUGAGUAACCUGCCCUUGACUUUGGGAUAACUUCAGGAAACUGGGGCUAAUACCGGAUAGGAGCUCCUGCUGCAUGGUGGGGGUUGGAAAGUUUCGGCGGUUGGGGAUGGACUCGCGGCUUAUCAGCUUGUUGGUGGGGUAGUGGCUUACCAAGGCUUUGACAGGUAGCCGGCCUGAGAGGGUGACCGGCCACAUGGGGAAUGAGAUACGGCCCAGACCCCUGCGGGAGGCAGCGGGGGGGAAUUUUGCACAAGGGGCGGAAGCCUGAUGCAGCAACCCCGCGUGGGGGAUGACGGCCUUCGGGUUGAAAACCGCUUUCCCCUGUGACGAAGGGGGAGUGGCGGUAAUGGGAAAAGAAGCACCGGCUAACUACGU
rnacentral:rRNA from 1 species